GAUGAACGCUAGCGGCAGGCUUAAUACAUGCAAGUCGAGGGGCAGCAGGGGUGUAGCAAUACACUCGCUGGCGACCGGCAAACGGGUGCGGAACACGUACGCAAUCUACCCAAAACUGAUGAAUAGCCCUCCGAAAGGAGGAUUAAUACAUCGUAACAUUAUAGAGUGGCAUCACUUUAUGAUUAUAGCUCCGGCGGUUUUGGAUGAGCGUGCGGCNGAUUAGAUAGUUGGCAGGGUAACGGCCUACCAAGUCUACGAUCAGUAACUGGUGUGAGAGCACGGCCAGUCACACGGGCACUGAGACACGGGCCCGACUCCUACGGGAGGCAGCAGUAAGGAAUAUUGGUCAAUGGACGCAAGUCUGAACCAGCCAUGCCGCGUGAAGGAUGAAGGUCCUCUGGAUUGUAAACUUCUUUUAUAGGGGAAGAAACCGGUAAUUUUCUUUGUUCCGUUGACGGUACCUGGGAAUAAGCACCGGCUAACUCCGUGCCAGCAGCC
rnacentral:rRNA from 1 species